rnacentral:tRNA from 1 species
GGGGGGGUACCAGAGCGGUCAAAUGGGGCAGACUGUAAAUCUGUUGGCUUAGCCUUCGGAGGUUCGAAUCCUCCCCCCCCCACCA